AUCUUUAUAUACUAAUUGAUUUUAUGCAAGUCUCAUUCAUGAUAGUCUUCAAAAAUGCAUUAACACGGUAUUAUUUUCCAUUUAAUUUGGGCAUUUCAGAAGACGUUACCCACAAUCCUUUCAUAAGCACAGACACGUGUGAUGGGUUUAAAAUCACCACAGCAACAGGAGCGUGGAAGUGAAACCCGUCUUAAAACCAUGCUUAAAACCUGUUAAUUUGCACAACUGUUAAUAGUGGACAGCACCACUAAUAAUGAAAGCAAACGUGAAAUUUUCGCCUUUACAGAAAAGUGUGCAACAGCAUUUCCCCAUAAUUCCAAAAGAUGCUGCUAUCAAGAUUUUCACAGGAGAACUGACUGCAAUCAAAGCAGGAGGAGCUUACCGAGGACAGGAAACUGCAAACAGUAAUUGAGCAGGUUAUGGUGGAUCAGCUGUCAAGGGCUGUCAUUAGUGAUCCGGAGCAGAAUGCUGUGUCUGUCAGUCCCAUGAGUGUCCCUCCACGCUACAGGAGAACUCUCAACCACACUAAGAAAAAAAACUCAGAAGUCUUUAACUCUGCUUUCAAGCCAGGAUUUUAUCAAGGUAGUCACAGCUACUUACUUACUUUAAGCCAUUUUUAGUGUUUUAUUUUGUAAUUUGCAUGGGUUUGAUAUAUAUGU
rnacentral:lncRNA from 1 species